UAAUACUAACUGAAUAUUUAA
rnacentral:piRNA from 1 species